GUCGAGGGGCAGCAUGGUCUUAGCUUGCUAAGACUGAUGGCGACCGGCGCACGGGUGAGUAACACGUAUCCAACCUGCCGUCUACUCUUGGACAGCCUUCUGAAAGGAAGAUUAAUACAAGAUGGCAUCAUGAGUCCGCAUGUUCACAUGAUUAAAGGUAUUCCGGUAGACGAUGGGGAUGCGUUCCAUUAGAUAGUAGGCGGGGUAACGGCCCACCUAGUCUUCGAUGGAUAGGGGUUCUGAGAGGAAGGUCCCCCACAUUGGAACUGAGACACGGUCCAAACUCCUACGGGAGGCGGCAGUGAGGAAUAUUGGUCAAUGGGCGAGAGCCUGAACCAGCCAAGUAGCGUGAAGGAUGACUGCCCUAUGGGUUGUAAACUUCUUUUAUAAAGGAAUAAAGUCGGGUAUGCAUACCCGUUUGCAUGUACUUUAUGAAUAAGGAUCGGCUAACUCCGUGCCAGCAGCCGCGGUAAUACGGAGGAUCCGAGCGUUAUCCGGAUUUAUUGGGUUUAAAGGGAGCGUAGAUGGAUGUUUAAGUCAGUUGUGAAAGUUUGCGGCUCAACCGUAAAAUUGCAGUUGAUACUGGAUAUCUUGAGUGCAGUUGAGGCAGGCGGAAUUCGUGGUGUAGCGGUGAAAUGCUUAGAUAUCACGAAGAACUCCGAUUGCGAAGGCAGCCUGCUAAGCUGCAAC
rnacentral:rRNA from 1 species